CAGUAGCCGCGGUAAAACGAAGGGGGCUAGCGUUGUUCGGAAUUACUGGGCGUAAAGCGCGUGUAGGCGGGUCUCUAAGUCAGAGGUGAAAUGCCAAGGCUCAACCUUGGAACUGCCUUUGAUACUGGAGAUCUCGAGUCCGGGAGAGGUGAGUGGAACUGCGAGUGUAGAGGUGAAAUUCGUAGAUAUUCGCAAGAACACCAGUGGCGAAGGCGGCUCACUGGCCCGGAACUGACGCUGAGACGCGAAAGCGUGGGAGCAAACAGGAUUAGAUACCCCUGUAGUCCCUGUCUCUUAUACA
rnacentral:rRNA from 1 species